rnacentral:rRNA from 1 species
AUGGGGCCAGCUGAUGCAGCACCCCGCGUGCGGAAUGGAGGCCUUCGGGUUGUAAACCGCUUUUGUUCAGGGCAUGCACGGUUUCGGCCUGGUUGAGUGGAUUGUUCGAAUAACCACCGGCUAACUACGUGCCACCAGCCGCGGUAAUACGGUAGGGUGCAAGCGUUAUCCGGAUUUAUUGGUUGUUAAGGGCUCGUAGGCCGCUCGCCGCUUUUUAAGUGAAAUUCCAUCGCCUACCGGUUGACCUACG